rnacentral:rRNA from 1 species
AACGAACGCUGGCGGCGUGGAUUAGGCAUGCAAGUCGAACGAUGAGGAGGUCUUCGGAUCUCCAUCAGUGGCGCACGGGUGAGUAACGCGUGAGAAACCUGCCCCCGGGACCGGGAUAACCCUUCGAAAGGGGGGCUAAUACCGGGCAAUGUAUACCGCUUCAUGGCGGGAUACCAGAGGAUAGCCUAUCCUUGGAAGCUAUCGCCUGGGGAGGGUCUCGCGUCCCAUUAGCUUGUUGGUAGGGUAACGGCCUACCAAGGCGACGAUGGGUAGCCGACCUGAGAGGGUGACCGGCCACACUGGGACUGAGACACGGCCCAGACUCCUACGGGAGGCAGCAGUCGAGAAGCUUUGGCAAUGGGGGAAACCCUGACCAUGCGACGCCGCGUGAGCGAUGAAGGUCUUCGGAUCGUAAAGCUCUGUCAGACGGGACGAAAGCUACACUGGUUAAUAGCCGGUGUGGAUUGACGGUACCGUCAAAGGAAGCCCCGGCCAACUCCGUGCCAGCAGCCGCGGUAAUACGGAGGGGGCGAGCGUUGUUCGGAAUUACUGGGCGUAAAGGGCGCGUAGGCGGUUGGAUAAGUUAGAUGUGAAAGCCCCGGGCUUAACCUGGGAAUUGCGUUUAAAACUGUCCAACUUGAGUUCAGGAGGGGAGAGUGGAAUUCCUGGUGAAGCGGUGAAAUGUGUAGAUAUCGGGAAGAACACCGGUGGCGAAGGCGGCUCUCUGGACUGUGACUGACGCUGAGGCGCGAAAGCUGGGGGAGCGAACGGGAUUAGAUACCCCGGUAGUCCCAGCCGUAAACGAUGGACACUAGGUGUAGGGAGUGCUCUAACUCUCUGUGCCGCAGCUAACGCAUUAAGUGUCCCGCCUGGGGAGUACGGCCGCAAGGCUGGAACUCAAAGGAAUUGACGGGGGCCCGCACAAGCGGUGGAGCAUGUGGCUCAAUUCGAUGCAACGCGAAGAACCUUACCGGGGUUUGAAGUGCACCUGUAAGCGUUGGGAAACCUGCGCCUUCCGGUCUUUCGAUUGGACAGGUGUAGAGGUGCUGCAUGGCUGUCGUCAGCUCGUGUCGUGAGAUGUUGGGUUAAGUCCCGCAACGAGCGCAACCCCCGUCCUUAGUUACCAGUCCCGGCCUUCGGGUCGGGAGGGACUCUAAGGAGACUGCCCCGGAUAACGCGUGGAGGAAGGAGGGGAUGACGUCAAGUCAUCAUGGCCUUUAUGUCCCGGGCUGCACACGUGCUACAAUGGUCUGAACAGAGGGUUGCGAUACCGUGAGGUGGAGCUAAUCCCGGAAAUCAGGCCUCAGUUCGGAUUGGAGUCUGCAACUCGACUCCAUGAAGUUGGAAUCGCUAGUAAUCGCGGAUCAGCAAUGCCGCGGUGAAUACGUUCCCGGGCCUUGUACACACCGCCCGUCACACCACCCGAGUUGGGUGCACCCGAAGUCGCCGUCUCAACCGUAAGGGGAGAAGCGCCUAAGGUGUGCUUGGUAAGGGGGGUG